AGAGGGAGGAGGCUCUCAGGGCAUUUGUGAUAAUAGCACUCCACUCUACUACUACAAAGUGCUCAGCCAACAUGUAUACUAAAUAGGGCUUAUUCUGUGCAGCUGGGGUUCAGUCACAAAACAAGUGCAAGCAGAAGGCAUCACACAGGUGUGUUUCACAAGCAUGGCUGGACCUUUCACUUGCUGAUCCAAACACCAGUAUCAAAGGAUUAGCAAAACAGAUGCUUCAGAGGAUGACGGCAUCUCCAGGAAAUCCACAUGACACCAAAUUAGCUGCAUCUCAGCAAGAAGGCUAAAACAGGCAGUUGAGUCAGUGAUCUGCGAGCAGAGUGGAGCUAGAUUGUCUGGUGGGAUCUCCAGUCCUGCACCCUUCACCUUAAAGCCGCGAUCGAAAAGAUGAAGCCCCUCCUGUGCCUUCUGUCUUUAAUAACCAUUGAGCCCCUGAGGGGUUUCAAUAUCGACACCAACAGGAAGUGGAUGACAACUCACAGAGACCAUCUUUCUUGGCCCAAGGUCCUUCAGUACUCUGGCCUCAAAGCCUGGAUUUUGGCAACUUCCUCAGAAGUUAACAGCCAAAGCAGGAUGCUUGGCAGGCUGAAUAAGUGCACUCUUGCCAAAGAAGCGAUUGAGUGUAAGGAGAUUGGUCUGAGAGGUACAGUCCAGCUCAUUGUUCUUAAGUAGUUUCUUCAAGUAAAUUUUGAAUAGGAUGGGGGAGGAAGGAAUCUGACAAACACUAGGGUGCAACAUCACCGAGAUGAUGAGAGGGAGGCAGAGAGGGGUUCAUGAUACAUUAGGGUCUCCAGGUUUUCAUGGGGAAAAGAAAUCCAGAUACACGUUAGCAGGGAAAGGG
rnacentral:lncRNA from 1 species